AUUGAACGCUGGCGGCAUGCUUUACACAUGCAAGUCGAGCGGCAGCGCGGGGGCAACCCUGGCGGCGAGCGGCGAACGGGUGAGUAAUGCAUCGGAACGUAUCCUCGAGUGGGGGAUAACCCAGCGAAAGUUGGGCUAAUACCGCAUGAGCUCUGAGGAGGAAAGCGGGGGACCUGCGAGGGCCUCGCGCUGGAGGAGCGGCCGAUGUCCGAUUAGCUAGUUGGUGGGGUAAAGGCUUACCAAGGCGACGAUCGGUAGCUGGUCUGAGAGGAUGAUCAGCCACACUGGGACUGAGACACGGCCCAGACUCCUACGGGAGGCAGCAGUGGGGAAUUUUGGACAAUGGGGGCAACCCUGAUCCAGCCAUGCCGCGUGAGUGAAGAAGGCCUUCGGGUUGUAAAGCUCUUUCGGACGGAACGAAAUGGGCGGGACUAAUACUCCUGUCUGAUGACGGUACCGUAAGAAGAAGCACCCGCUAACUACGUG
rnacentral:rRNA from 1 species